CGCUCACACCAGCUCGCUCACUCUUUUCCUCUUCCAUUUUUUAGGGCCAUUCUUAUUGUUUUGUUUGAUAGACGAAGCUUAGGGUCUCUUUGGGUUUGCAACCCUUACCCUCCUGUCAAAAAUCAUAGUUGCUAGACUGCGACACUUCAGACCAGGUACUAUUAGAGCCGCUAAUGGACGACGAGCUAUUUUCCGCUAUCCGGAGCUCAAGCAUUUGAGCCGCUAAAUGGACGAGACUCCUGGGGUAAAGGAUGCAGAGAAUGAGGAGAAAACACUCGUAUGGAGCAGGGAGUAGGUAUUGUACUACUUCCUGGUAUGGAGCACUGAGAAGCGCAUUAGGCGAUUUGAUCGCAGGACAAGAGAGGAGCUGAUGGACGAUCUCUCCAGUGUCCCCUCUUGGUUCGGAGCAGCGCCGAGUGCUGACGUUGGGACUUGGAUCCAAGGGACUGCCAUGGGUUCGCCUGCAGCAGUGGUCUAUGCCGACAUUGUUAUGCUGUAUUUGGAGAAGCGGUACGUUUUGCCGAUCUUAGACGGGGAGGGUUUAGAGGUUCAGGUUUAUAGACGCUUUAUCAUUGCAUGGUUGCGAAGGUCAAGUUCAGCGCACUUUAGAUAGGAAUAAUAAGUGUUCGGCCCUCAAGUUUUCUCAUGAACUGACACAUGAUGGCAUUGAUUUCCUGGACACCACAGUUUUCCGUAGUAAGGGAUACAUGGCGGUGAAGCCUCAUUUCAAGGUCACCAAUCGUUUCCUGUAUCUGCUUGUCGGUAGUAACCACCCCUGUAGUAUGGGCAAAGGUGUGUUCACUGGGGAGUUGAUCCGUAUCCGUCGGUCUUCGACCCUUGACCACCACUACGAAGCUGCUGCCGAGCGGCCGAAGCAGGCUUUCCGGGCCCGUGUAUACAAGCGCUCCAUCUUUCAUCUUUCAGACCCGUACACUAGGAAUGGAUGCGCAGGGAAGGUAUGUUGGUCAAAUUGGCAUGGGUUUGGGUUAUUUCUGUAGUUGUAUACAGUGCUCCUCAUUGUAUUUACCUGGGCCCGGCCUGCUGUCCUUCGCCCGUUGGUCUUGAGGUCCAGG